rnacentral:misc_RNA from 1 species
AGCAACGCCCUAAUCACCCUCGGCAAUUAUCCACUUACAAUAUAUUAAUUAUUCAACUAAGAAUCAAGGCUUAAUUCCACCCAUAAUUAAUAUUAAAAAAAAUAUCGACUCAUAAUUAGAUUUAUUUAAUUUCUAAAUGCAUAGUUUGAGUGUGAUUGUAAAAAAGAUUAUUAGAUAUGCGUAAAAUUAUCUUAAAAAUUUUAAUUAUAU